rnacentral:rRNA from 1 species
ACAUGCCUACAACAUAGAAUUAAUGCAACAGAUCCCAUUAGAAAUUACAGUUAAGCGUGCUCAGGAUAGAGUAGUAUUGGGAUGGGUGACGGCCCGGGAAGUCCUAGUUUUUUACAUGCC